rnacentral:tRNA from 1 species
GUCUUAGUAGCUUAUACCAAAGCGCUGACCUUGUAAGUCAGAAAUGGACAAACACUGUCCCUAAAACA